rnacentral:rRNA from 1 species
GGGCCCGCACAAGCGGUGGAGCAUGUGGUUUAAUUCGAUGAUACGCGAGGAACCUUACCAGGGCUUAAAUGCAGAACGACAGAGGUGGAAACACCUCCUUCUUCGGACGGUCUGCAAGGUGCUGCAUGGUUGUCGUCAGCUCGUGCUGUGAAGUGUCGGGUUAAGUCCCAUAACGAGCGCAACCCCAUUCUAGUUGCCAGCGGUUCGGCCGGGGACUCUAGAGAAACUGCCAGCGUAAGCUGUGAGGAAGGUGGGGAUGACGUCAAAUCAUCACGGCCCUUACAUCCUGGGCCACACACGUGCUACAAUGGUAGGGACAACAGGUUGCCAACCCGCGAGGGUGAGCC